rnacentral:rRNA from 1 species
UUGGGGGUCGACUAGCCAUGCGAGUCGAGAGGGUUCGGCCCUCGGCAAACGGCUCAGUAACACGUGGGUAACCUACCCUCGGGACAGGGAUAACCCCGGAAAACUGGGGAUAAUACCUGAUAGGUGGAUAUGUCUGGAACGGCUUUCCGCUUAAAUGCUCCGGCGCCUGAGGACGGGCCUGCGACCGAUUAGGUUGUUGGCGGUGUAAUGGACCACCAAGCCUGCGAUCGGUACGGGCGUUGAGAGACGUAGCCCGGAGAUGGGGACUGAGACACGGCCCCAGGCCCUACGGGGCGCAGCAGGCGCGAAAACUCCGCAAUACACGAAAGUGUGACGGGGGGACCCCAAGUGCAUUCACGCAAGUGAAUGCUUUUGUGAAGUGUAAAUAGCUUUACGAAUAAGAGCUGGGUAAGACCGGUGCCAGCCGCCGCGGUAACACCGGCAGCUCGAGUGGUGAUCAUUAUUAUUGGGCCUAAAGCGUCCGUAGCCUGUUUGAUAAGUCCUUGGGCAAAUCCUGCCGCUUAACGGUAGGAAUUCUGAGGAUACUGUCAGACUUGAGGCCGAGAGAGGUCGGAGGUACUUCAGGGGUAGCGGUGAAAUGCUAUAAUCCUUGGGGGACCACCAGUGGCGAAAGCGUCCGACCAGAGCGGGCCUGACGGUAAGGGACGAAAGCCAGGGUAGCGAACGGGAUUAGAUACCCCGGUAGUCCUGGCCGUAAACGCUG